rnacentral:rRNA from 1 species
UACGGGAGGCAGCAGUGGGGAAUAUUGCACAAUGGGCGCAAGCCUGAUGCAGCCAUGCCGCGUGUAUGAAAAAGGCCUUCGGGUUGUAAAGUACUUUCAGUCGUGAGGAAGGUGUUAAGGUUAAUAACCUUAGCAAUUGACGUUAGCGACAGAAGAAGCACCGGCUAACUCCGUGCCAGCAGCCGCGGUAAUACGGAGGGUGCGAGCGUUAAUCGGAAUUACUGGGCGUAAAGGGCACGCAGGCGGUUAAUUAAGUUGGAUGUGAAAUCCCCGGGCUUAACCUGGGAAUGGCAUUCAAGACUGGUUAGCUAGAGUCUUGUAGAGGGGGUUAGAAUUCCAUGUGUAGCGGUGAAAUGCGUAGAGAUGUGGAGGAAUACCGGUGGCGAAGGCGGCCCCUGGACAAAGACUGACGCUCAUGUGCGAAAGCUGGGGAGCAAACAGGGAUUAGAUACC